rnacentral:rRNA from 1 species
UACGGAGGGUGCAAGCGUUAUCCGGAUUUACUGGGUUUAAAGGGCGCGUAGGCGGUGUGUCAAGUCAGGCGUGAAAGCCCCGGGCUCAACCUGGGAACGGCGCUUGAGACUGGCACGCUCGAGUUCGGGAGAGGAUGGUGGAAUUCCCAGUGUAGAGGUGAAAUUCGUAGAUAUUGGGAAGAACACCGAUGGCGAAGGCAGCCAUCUGGACCGACACUGACGCUGAGGCGCGAAAGCGUGGGGAGCAAACAGG